UACGGGAGGCAGCAGUGGGGAAUCUUGCGCAAUGGGCGAAAGCCUGACGCAGCCAUGCCGCGUGAAUGAUGAAGGUCUUAGGAUUGUAAAAUUCUUUCACCGGGGACGAUAAUGACGGUACCCGGAGAAGAAGCCCCGGCUAACUUCGUGCCAGCAGCCGCGGUAAUACGAAGGGGGCUAGCGUUGCUCGGAAUUACUGGGCGUAAAGGGCGCGUAGGCGGAUCGUUAAGUCAGAGGUGAAAUCCCAGGGCUCAACCCUGGAACUGCCUUUGAUACUGGCGAUCUUGAGUAUGAGAGAGGUAUGUGGAACUCCGAGUGUAGAGGUGAAAUUCGUAGAUAUUCAGAAGAACACCAGUGGCGAAGGCGACAUACUGGCUCAUUACUGACGCUGAGGCGCGAAAGCGUGGGGAGCAAACAGGGAUUAGAUACC
rnacentral:rRNA from 1 species